rnacentral:lncRNA from 1 species
UAGCCAUAUUGUUUAUAUUAGGGCAUGAACCCCUCUGUAAAGUCAUUGUACAAUUCUAAUAAUGGAGUUGGAAAAGAGUUUCUGUGUUUCUCCCGGUAAUCAAUACCAAAGCUGCUGAUGCAAAUUUAUUUGAACCCCAGGGAACAUAUCUUUUGAAGUUCUGGGAAAAUUUAAAAUAUAGCAUACAAUCAAUAAGUGGACAAAACACCCCUGGCUGUUGGCGGUGUUCAUUUUUAUUUGGGGAGAAAAUAUGUCUUGAAAUGCAGUGUUCUCUCCCCCUCUUGAACUCUCCCUUCCCCUGCAUCAUUUCUUCUGCAAAGGAAGGGGGCUCAUGAAUGACAACUGAACAGAAAACACUCCAGUUUGGGCAUAAUUAGGAGUGCUCACAGAAUGCAGACAUUAGCCUCCUGUUCCUGCAGCCUGACUCCUCCAACCCAAGAGGACUUCUUUGAGCUCACCCUUUUGUAAUGCUCUUAUCCUCAAGAGGAUGGGUGUACUUGAAUUCUCUGUUCCUGGCCCUCUUCUCCCUAAGAUUUCCUAUCCGGUGGAUGGAGAAGCCCCAGCUAGCUGGAGGUGAUUCGGUUUGGUGGCUUUCUCUGAAGGGUGUUUCCUGGGGCAUUAAAAAAAAAUAUGAUGUGUCUAUGAGAUUAAAUAUAUAUAUUUUUUUCAUUACUGCCUAUUUUCACAGUCUGCUGAGCAAAAACACAAAGCGAUUCUCUUGCUACCCCCUUUCUCCCUUUCUUUUCUUUCUUUCUUUCUUUCUUUCUUUCUUUCUUUCUUUCUUUCUUUCUUUCUUUCUUUCUUUUUCUUUCUUUUCUCCCUUUCUUCUUCUUUCCUUCUUUCCUCCCUCCCUUCCUUCCUUUCUUUUUCUUUCUUUCUCUCUUUCUUUCUCUCUUUCCUUCCUUCCUUCUUUCUUUCUUUCUUUCUUUCUUUCUUUCUUUCUUUCUUUCUUUCUUUCUUUCUUUCUUUCUUUCUUUUCUUUCUUUCUUUCUUUCUUUCUUUCUUUCUUUCUUUCUUUUUUCUUUCUCUCUUUCCUUCCUUUCCCUUCUUUUUCCUUUCAUUAUAUCUCUUUCUUAUCUUCUCCUUCUUCUUCUUCUUUCUUCUUUCUUCUUCUUUCUUUCUUUCUUGCGUUCUUUCUGUCUUUCGUUCGUUCUUUCUUUCUUUCUUUCUGUCUUCUCUUUCUCUUCUCUUUCUCUCUUACCUUCUCCUCCUUCGUUUUCCUUUCUUGA